UACGUAGGCAGCAAGCGUUGUUCGGAGUUACUGGGCGUAAAGGGUGCGUAGGCGGCUUCUUAAGUCUGGUGUGAAAUCUCCCGGCUCAACUGGGAGGGUGCGCCGGAUACUGGGAGGCUAGAGUGUGGGAGAGGAAAGUGGAAUUCCUGGUGUAGCGGUGAAAUGCGUAGAUAUCAGGAGGAACACCGGUGGUGUAAACGCUUCUGGACCAUAACUGACGCUGAGGCACGAAAGCGUGGGUAGCAAACAGG
rnacentral:rRNA from 1 species